rnacentral:lncRNA from 1 species
GAAGCAAGUAAGGAAGAUGACGAAUUCUACUGGAACAUGUUAAAUCUGAGAUGUCUGUUGGCCAUCCAAAUUAAAACAUCCAGUAAGCACUGGGAUUAUAAGGCUCUGAAACUCUGGAGCAGGCUGUGCUGAAUAUAGAUGUAGGAGUCAUCUGGGAACCGGUGCCUGAAGUCCUACGUGUCAAAGAGAGAGCCACAGGAAAGUGUACAGAGUCAGCAAAGUUGAGAACUAAGAUAGGAAUGCCAAUAUUUAUGUGAUGAGCAAAGAAGGAAGAGACCAUAAGCGAGAUCAAGAAGACUCUGGUCAAAAAGGUAAAAAGUGGAAUUUCCCCGAGGCCACACGAUGUGCGAUACUGCAACUAACUGAAGGCAGAAGCAGAGAUGAAGACUAAAACUUACUGUGAAGAAAAGCUCCAUAACUCUGCUGUCCAGAAGAGUCUCCCGCCAGGACUCUGUUGGCUUCAACAGCACAUUUUGCGAGGAUUCAAACAUAGCUAUAUAAUGUCUGCCCAGUUAUUUGGUGUCAAGGUCAACA